UAUGCAAUGAGUUUAAGCUCAAAACAUCCUGCAAAUAUACAUACACAAAAUGAAAGAAAGAAAUAAAAAAGAAAAAAGAAAAAAUGGAAAAAUAGGUCACAUAUUUGUAUGUUUCUUGUUUUUCCAUUUUUUUUUUUUUUUUUUUUUUUCCUUUUUCUUUCUCCUAAUUUGUGUAAUUUUUAUAAAAACAGGAAGGAAGGUCUGAGAUGCUGCAUUUAAAGAAUAGAAAAGAAAAGUCAAUGAAUUUUAAUUUUUUUUUUUUUUUUUUUUAUAAUUCUUAUGAAUUAAAAAGAAAGAAAAAAAAAGUUAUAACAUUCGUUGUUACUUUUUAUUUCACAUAUAUAUAUAUAUAUAUAUUCUUUAAUAAAAUUUUUGAGAGAAAAUGUAUUGAACAAAUAUUAAUUAGUUACCAGAAAUAUCAAUCAUAUAUUUAAAAUUUCGUAAGAAGUUUUGUGUAUGGUUUUGAAAAAGCUAAUAAGCAAGUAUACAUUGGUGAGUUCGAUUUUUGAGGUUUUUCUUUAUUCCUACAUCUCAUAUAUCAAUAUUUUUUUUAUAAUUAUAUAUUAUACGAGGUGAUAAUAAGAAAAAUAACUUAAUUCAGACUACUCCUAAAUUCAUUGCUGCAA
rnacentral:RNase_P_RNA from 2 species